rnacentral:rRNA from 1 species
UACGACUACAUAUCAGGCAUAUCAAUAAGCGGAGGAAAAGAAACUAACAAGGAUUCCCUAGUAACGGCGAGUGAAGCGGGAAGAGCUCAAAUUUGAAAUCUUAAAGGGUUCUACCUUGACGAAUUGUAGUUUAAAGAAGUGUUUUCUGUUAGGAGUUCGGUAAAAGUUCCUUGGAAUAGGGAUAUCAUAGAGGGUGAGAAUCCCGUAUUUGACCGUUACUUCAUCUAGCUUUGUGAUACACUUUCAAAGAGUCGGAUUGUUUGGGAAUGCAGUCCAAGAUGGGUGGUAAAUUUCAUCUAAAGCUAAAUAUUGGCGAGAGACCGAUAGCGAACAAGUACCGUGAGGGAAAGAUGAAAAGAACUUUGAAAAGAGAGUUAAACAGUACGUGAAAUUGUCAAAAGGGAAGCGUUUGACACCAGUGUUGUUUAGUUCGAAAAUCAAUUACGAAUAGGUUUGAUUCUUAGUAGUAUUGACUUCAUCAGUUUGCUUCACUUUCUUCUCGAGUAUUAUUGAAUGCACUUUUCAGUUAACAAGUCAACAUCAAUUUCUUUUGUUGUAAAAGAGUAUAGGAAGGUGGCUCUCUCUUUCGGCGCAAGUGUUUAUAGCCCUUAUACUCUACAAUCGGAGAGAUUGAGGUCUGCAGCGUAGAUCCUUCGGGGUUAGAUACACUUGUGCUAAGCUAGUAGCCUUGUAUAGACAACUUGUUGACUAUGCUUCAGUCAUGUAGGCUUACUCGCUGAUGCUAUUUUACCUACGCUUAGGAUGUUGAGUAGCGACAUACGCAC